UACGUAGGCAGCGAGCGUUGUUCGGAGUUACUGGGCGUAAAGGGUGUGUAGGCGGUUUUUUAAGUUUGGUGUGAAAUCUCCCGGCUCAACCGGGAGGGUGCGCCGAAUACUGAAUGACUUGGAGUGCGGGAGAGGUGAGUGGAAUUCCUGGUGUAGCGGUGAAAUGCGUAGAUAUCAGGAGGAACACCGGUGGUGUAGACGGCUCACUGGACCGUAACUGACGCUGAGACACGAAAGCGUGGGUAGCAAACAGG
rnacentral:rRNA from 1 species